rnacentral:rRNA from 1 species
AGAGCGAACGCUGGCGGCAGGCCUAAUACAUGCAAGUCGAACGCACCUUCGGGUGAGUGGCGGACGGGUGAGUAACACGUGGGAACGUGCCUUUUGGUUCGGAAUAAUCCGGGGAAACCUGGCCUAAUACCGGAUGUGCCCUUCGGGGGAAAGAUUUAUCGCCAUUAGAGCGGCCCGCGUCUGAUUAGCUUGUUGGUGGGGUAAUGGCCCACCAAGGCUACGAUCAGUAGCUGGUCUGAGAGGAUGAUCAGCCACAUUGGGACUGAGACACGGCCCAAACUCCUACGGGAGGCAGCAGUGGGGAAUAUUGGACAAUGGGCGCAAGCCUGAUCCAGCCAUGCCGCGUGAGUGAUGAAGGCCCUAGGGUUGUAAAGCUCUUUUGUGCGGGAAGAUAAUGACGGUACCGCAAGAAUAAGCCCCGGCUAACUUCGUGCCAGCAGCCGC